GUGGAUUCAUGAACCGUGACAAUAACUAGCUCCUUGUUCUAUCUGUGACUUUAGUAAAGAAAAUAAUGUUACCUUGGUUUUAAUUUAAUUUAACAAAACAUGUGCACAAGGAGUGUUUGCAUUGUAAUGUUUCUAUACAAGUGUGCAACGUGUUCAUUUGUCACUUAGAGACUCGGAGUAACCACAACUGCUCAUCUUCCAUGACCUCUGAAUUUCUUUUGCCAAAGAGCUCCCACCUCAGCUGUUGAAUACACGGAACAGGCCUAUCAAUUCCUCUAAGUUUGUGUUAACGACCGACAUGUCCCUAGUGUCCUAUGUGCCAAAGAAUGGCAAAAAUGUGGUACUCAUGAGUACGCUGAAUAGGGAUGACCAGAAAAAACAGAAAUCAUAAUGAAUUAUUACAAUGCCAUAAAAGGAGCGGUGGACAAUUUUUAGACAAGCUGGUGACUGGCUACAGCUGCAAAAGAAGAACCCUACGCUGGCCACUUGGACAUUUUGGCGUACAACGUGUUUGUCAUCUUGACGAAUCCAUCGUGAAGAGGAUUCAGGAGGAGGAUGCUGGUGCCCCAUCCGCAUGACCCACAGAACCGACAAUUCACACAAAUUGCAGCCGGGAGCAACAAGAAGAAGCGCUGCGAUGUGUGUGGACCCAAGAAAGACAGAAAGACACAGUACACAUGCAUCAAGUGCAAGAAAUGCUUUGCAACACACACACACAGUAAAACUCUGUCCCUCAUGUGGUGUAUAGACCGGCCUUAAUUUGUGUUCAAUGGGGCUCAUUUUAUAAUUUCCCUAAAAUAAUGUACAGUGGGGCAAAAAAGUAUUUAGUCAGCCACCAAUUGUGCAAGUUCUCCUACUUAAAAAUAUGAGAGAGGCCUGUAAUUUUCAUCAAAGUCCGUGUUGCCCAGCAACAGCCCCAAAACAUCACUGCUCUUGAGGAGAUCUGCAUGGAAGAAUGGGCCAAAAUACCAGCAACAGUGUGUGAAAACCUUGUGAAGACUUACAGAAAACGUUUGACCUCUGUCAUUGCCAACAAAGAGUAUAUCACAAAGUAUUGAGAUAAACUUUUGUUAUUGACCAAAUACCUAUUUUCCGCCAUAAUUUGCAGAUAAAUUAAUUUAAAAUCCUACAAUGUGAUUUUCUGGAUUUUAUUUCUCAUUUUGUCUGUCAUAGUUGAAGUGUACCUAUGAUGAACAUUACAGGCCUCUCUCAUCUUUUUAAGUGGGAGAACUUGCACAAUUGGUGGCUGACUAAGUACUUUUUUGCCCCUCUGUAUGUACCAUUUGUUCUUCCAAUUUGUUCAGUUCGAAGCAACAAACAUCAAUAGUUAUGAAAACCUUAUUUAAUUUAUAUUUGUUCCAGAUCAACAUGAUUUAUUCUACCCAUGUCUUGAUUAUAAUAGAUUUUUGUUGACAAAAUCUUUUAAUUUUAUGAAUAGAGCUUUUCUUGAUAAAUGUGAUCUAGCAGAGGUAAAUGGCAAAUAUUAACCAUGUAUGCUGCCUGUAUUGCUUAUAAUUGAUAUAAGUCAACAUUUAAGUAUUAAAUAUUUUAAGUAAAUUGUUAUUGCUGUAUUGUUUUUAAAACACAAUAAUGUUGUGGGUCCAUCAGACCCGCGAACAUUGGG
ensembl:lncRNA